GGCUUCUAUAAUACUUGUGUUAUCAUAUAGUUUAAAAAGUUGCAUGCAUGUCAGUGGCUUUUGUGCAAUUUUCUGAUGCUAAUUUAUAUUGAUUACUUCCAAAUUCUGUUCAUUGAGGUGCAUCUUCUCCAAACUUUGAUCCAACAUUUUGCUGUUGUCAGAAAUUUAUUAUUCAAGAAUCAGUAGAACAUGCACAUGCACCAGAAGAAGAAGCACAUGCUAUCUUUAAGUUAGUUUUAUCUUGGUGUUGGAGUGUAAUGAUAUCUAAUUUACUUAUUUUUUUUGAAAUAAAAAUGUGAUGUAUAUAUUAAUAAGAUACCAAAAAAGGAGAUACCACCCAUAUACAAAAGAUUUACAAUUGUGUUAAUGUAUCAAUAACAUUCUUAAAAUCUACAUCAUUAAUAAUGUCGUAAUCUAACAAAUAGACCCAAAAUAGUGAAUCCAUCCAUCUUUUAAUCUAUUAAUGCUAUUCUCAUCAAAAGUUCUACCAUUUCUCUCUUCCAAAUGACCCAAAAGACCAUAGACCAUGCACCAUAAGCUGUAGGUGGUCAGACACCACAAUAAAAGAUGAUUACAUAUUUCCUCAUCCUUCAGGCAGCAGUAACAGCUAUUCACCAACACCCUUCCUAUAAUUCUCAACUUGUCAAUACUUAAUGUUUUCUCCCAGCCAUUCACCAAUCUCCAAUUUACUUAUCCUCUUAUCUUCUAGUUUCUGACAUUUCCUCUUUGAGGUUUUUAGAUCACCAUCACCAUCACCAAAUUUGGUUUCAAAGCCGGCAUCCAGUGCACUGCGAAAUAACAGUCAGGGAAGGAUAACCAAAAAGGAUCUGCGGUUGCAUAAACGAGUUUUGGAGACAGAUAUUUUACCAGAUGGAACUGAAGUAGGAUAUUUUGUCCGUGGACAGAAAAUGCUGGUAGGCUAUAAAAAGGGGCCUGCAAUACUUUGCACCUGCUGCAACUCGGAGGUCAGUCCUUCACAGUUUGAAGCUCAUGCUGGUUGGGCAACUCGGCGUAAGCCGUAAGUAUACAUGCAAACUUGAGU